rnacentral:sRNA from 1 species
ACACAGUUGAUUAUAGCUUUAAUUCUGCAGUUGAUAGUAACCUACAGUCAAGCUACAUAGUACUUGAUAAGAGGUAUACAGACUGUAUCAGUGCUUGAUAAAUGUUUUUUUAUGGUUUAUUUUUUUCUGGUGCACUAAUGUUGAAAUUUUUUUUUUAAUAUAUUGAUUUUGUUUGGAUUUCAGAAUUGUUGGGUAGACAAGUAGAAUUUAGUUUAAACAAUGUGUCCAAGUUUUUUUCUUCAAAGUUUCCAAGGAAUGAUGUUAUUGAAUUUAAGAUGCGUCUUUGGAAAUGCUUUUAGUUAGUUAACAACUUCACAUGGAUGUUGAUUUCGCGUGUCAUUUCGUCAAAAUGCAUGUUUUUGGAUUAGUUAUAAUCUGUAGGACUCCCACAAGGAAUACACCUUUGUGUGCUUACAGACCCUAGUUGAAUUUUAUAAUAGUAUAAUUUAUAAUAUGUAUUAUAAACUCCAAAAAAAUUUCAUUUUUUUGUGUUGAAUUAACAGCAUUUUAGCAUAAUGAAUUAUGUUCAGGUUUGUGCAAUAUCUGUAGAAAUAGUACUACUUUUUUGAUUUUUCUGAAUUUAUUUUUAUUUUGAUUAAUGAUAUUAUUUGAAUUCAUAACAUUUAUACAGUAUUCCACACAAUGUAUUUUUCAAAGGACAUGUUGUUGUCUUAAACAUUCCUACAAGUCUCUCUAAGGAACAUUUUUCACUCUCUGAAGUAAUUUUUACGAAAGUCCUAUGGUGAAUAUAUAAACACAGACCAAAAGAUGAUGAGAGACCUGUAUAGUAUUACUCCAUUGUGUGUAAUUUAACUAUUCUUGUUAUAAAGCUGUGUAACCAGAAUCAUAUAUUGUAUAAACUUAAUACUACUGUAAUUAGUGGUGAUAUCCAUGAAUUUGAUACAUUUUGGGACGAAAAGUUCAUCAAGAAGAAAUUGACCAUGCUCCACAUGCUUAGGAAUUGAAAUUUGAAAUUGUAGCUGUCUGAAAAAUUAUACAACGAGAAUUUUCAUAGAUUUUUCACUUGGUCUGACUACAAGAGCUAAGAACCAAUAGUUUAUACCUAUUAUAUUAAUGUGUUAUUUUUCCCUUGUUGUCUGUGAUUUUAAUAAAUAUUUAAAAUC